rnacentral:rRNA from 1 species
GACGAACGCUGGCGGCGUGCUUAACACAUGCAAGUCGAACGGUGAGGCCCUGCUUGCAGUGUGCUCGAAUGGCGAACGGGUGAGUAACACGUGGGUGAGCUGACCCUUACUUUGGGAUAAGCCUGGGAAACUGGGUCUUAUAAUGGCUAGGACCAUGCUGUAGGUGGUGUGGUGGAAAGAUUAGUUUCGGGAAGGGAUAAGCUCGUGGCCUAUCAGCUUGUUGGUGGGGUAAUGGCCUAUCAAGGCGUCGACGGGUAGCCGGCCUGAGAGGGUGGACGGCCACAUUGGGACUGAGAUACGGCCCAGACUCCUACGGCAGGCAGCAGUGGGGAAUAUUGCACAAUGGGCGCAAGCCUGAUGCAGCGACGCCGCGUGGGGGAUGACGGCUUUCGGGUUGUAAACUCCUUUCAGCCAUGACGAAGCCCUUGUAGUGACGGUAGUGGUAGAAGAAGCACCGGCUAACUACGUG